CUUUGCGUGGCGCCUCGUUCUUGUUCAGUUACUCUCAGAACAAGGAGUCACGCAAAGGA
ensembl:miRNA mdo-mir-12297i mdo-mir-12297i